AUCAAUUAGCGAAUGUGGGGUAAAAUUCGAUCCGUUUGUAAUCGUUUUUUCCCCCUUGGGUUGAAGGUUGAUCGGGAUGGACGGACGCCAUCUUGAAUAACGUGUUGAGUGACGAAAAUGUGUUUCGAUGUGUGUGCGUGAGGCUGUGCGAGUGUGUGCAACGUCGUGACGGUCGGUACUUGUGUACCGAAUUUGGGGGGGUUGUGGAAAUUUCGCAGACCGCUGACUUGAUAUUCAUGGUUUUGGCGAAAUUCAAUGACAAACACAAAAACGGGGCCAAACAGUGGGGCUAUGUUGCCAUGGCUUUGCCGUCUUUCCGUAGGUAUCGUUAUUCAAUGAAAGUUGCGGACUAGGAAAGCAACGGUUGAGUCACGUAAUCGUCAAUGUGCGAACCAGACUACAGUCAACUUUCGGUCGUUGGGCUACGUUUAGGUGGGCUACGUUUUAACUGGGCGCCCGUUAGGUGGGCUAUAGCCCAGUUAAAACGAAGUCAAACGUCACUUUUUGACAUGAAGCACGAUUUGUCAAGGUUGGUAGCCCUGAAUCUCUAUUGUUAAAGAUUAUUUGACAGCUCAAAACUCAGCCCACCUAGUGAAAGUCUUUCACUAACUGGGCUACGAGCUUAGUGCAACGAGCGAAAGUUGACUGUACAGUCAACUUUCGGUCGUUGGGCUACGUUUAGGUGGGCUACGUUUUAACUGGGCGCCCGUUAGGUGGGCUAUAGCCCAGUUAAAACGAAGUCAAACGUCACUUUUUGACAUGAAGCACGAUUUGUCAAGGUUGGUAGCCCUGAAUCUCUAUUGUUAAAGAUUAUUUGACAGCUCAAAACUCAGCCCACCUAGUGAAAGUCUUUCACUAACUGGGCUACGAGCUUAGUGCAACGAGCGAAAGUUGACUGUACUUUGUUUACAUUGUUCGGUAAAAAGGUCAUUCAAGUCUUGGAGAUAAGGAGGUGAUUCAUCAAGGUACCUAGACGGAAAUCCCGAAAAACUUUUUUUCAUCUGAAAUGUACAGCGUAUUAUUUCGUAUCGGAGUAGAGUUUUGUUCUGCUUUGCAUUUAAUGUAAAUCACUAGAAUAGCACUCGGUAAUAAGCAAGGUACUGAGUUAACGCACAGUGAACUAAAGUAAGUCUGUAUAUGACGAUAUUUUAAACCGAAGUUUAAAAUGUAUUACUUAUUCUAAAAAGAGUGCGGGUCAUACUGUGGGUGACGCGUUCGAUUCCCUGUAGGACCAAGAUUUUUUCGUAAUGUUUUUUUUCUUUGACUUCCUUGGGCAUAGAGUAUCUUCGUGUCUGCCAUACUGCAUAUCAUGUACAAAAUAAUCUUUGGCAGAGGAAACUCUCAGUUAACAACUGUGGAAGUGUACAUAAAAUACUAAACUAAGAAACAGGAUUUGUCUCAGUGAUGACGUUACCGCAAGAGGAGGAAGAGAGCUUUUCCAAGAUAUACUUGAACUACACGCAAUGAUCGUCGUCUAAUUCCUCAAUUAAUUACUGUGGAAGUGCUCUAAGAACACUAACUUGAAGAGAGGAAGGCCAAGUUCCAAUGCGAACGACGUGCCAUAAAGAAGAUGAAGAAGUAUUUUGUUCUUGAACGGAUCUUUUCUGUCUUUCAAAUAAACGAACCAGCCAAGGGAUGAAAGUCUCUAUAAUAUAUCUAAAUCAAUCAAUUUUCUGUCUUAGGUCUCAACCAUCAUCGAGGCACUUCGAUUGUCGCCAUAGAUAACGAGAUAUUCUAGAUUCUAGGCUUCCAUUCAUUUUUAUCUACAACUAUUUCAGCCAAUAUGCCUCUUCUACUGCUCUUACCAUCGAUAAAGAUAAAUAAGUCUGCUUCCUAUAUAAUCAGCCCAUUAUUCUUCCGUUUAUCUUGAAUGCAUAUUGGCUAUUCUAUUUGCAUUCUUUCCUAUUUUCUGCCCAAUAAGCAAUACAAUACAAUUCCUGAGCCAAGGGCUGGAAGUCUCUAUAAUUAAGAAAAAUUAAUCAAUCACAAUUCCUGCAAGUCCAGACAUUUUGACGCAACCGGUAACUAUGUUUGCCUUUCAGAUACCAGAUAGGUAACACGUUUUCGUUUUAGUUCAAUCUAACCCGCUUGAGUAAGUCGGUUGAAUUUUUGAUCCGUUACAGCAUACGGUCUCGGAUUUCUCAGUGUAGGAUUAAUAUUCACGUUUAUAGUGUCUCUGACAAUAAAAAAAAUCUCUGAUCAGGAGUCAUGCGUGCGUUGCCUUUUUCUUAGGCAAAUACCUCCACUCGUGACCCAUCCAAACACCUUUCAAUCUCUAUGACCUGUUGUGCCGGAAAGAUUUUGAAAAUAAUGGUCAACCGUCGAAUCAAACAAUACUUAGAAGAUAACGAACUUCUAGACUCUCGAAAGCAUGCUUUCCGUCAAGGUUUCGGAACAUCUACAUACUUUGUCGAACUCGGCGAUGUUCUUCAGGAAGCUUCUGACCAAGGGCACCACCACUGGAUAUUCCUAAAGCGUUCAACUGUACAUGGACAUUCUAAGGCAACUAUAAAACUGGGGCAUAUGCGGACAUACGCUGCAGCUGCAUUUCGUUUGUAACUUUCUUUCUAGACGGUUUUUCCGGGUCGUUAUCGGAAACACUGAAUGCUUUCUCAAGGACCGUACGUUCCAAGUUUCUGUGAACGGAUGUACUUCAGAUCGAAAGCCCGUCCCGUUUGGAGUUCCCCAAGGUUCUGUGUUGAGCCCAACUCUGUACAACAUUUUCUCGGCCGACAUAGUGAAAGUCAACGGAAUACAAUACUACCGUCAAGGCACCAUUCACCGUGGAUUUAAGAGGAUUCGGGGCAAAUAAGGGCUGUCAUUUGACACCAGUCCUAUAAACAUUGUUGGUGCCGCUUUUAAUUGCCUUCAUUAUAGGUUAAAAUUAAAGCAAUAUCCACAGAAGUAGAAAAUUUUUCACAAAAUUUGGUGAUAUAGUCCAAUUAGUAAAGGGUAGUAGGGUCGCCUAAUUCCGUGGUAGGUCACCAUUCACCGUGGUAGUAGGGACCCAUUCACCGUGUAUGAAAAAUUUUAUUCUACUUUGUUUAAAAAUGAUCAAAAAAACCCAGCCAAGGGAAUUUUCUUCGUUUAAAUUCAUUUCAAGUAAUAACUUGCAAGAUUUUAUUGAAAAAACGAAUUUUCAAAUUUUCGAUUUUUUCUAGAUAUAUGGGACAAUAUGGGGCACGGUGAAUGGAGACCAUUGAUUUUUAGGGUACCCAUUUACCGUGCCUUUGUGGUUUCAAUUAAAAAGUACGAGUAAUCGUACUUUCUUGUUAAACUUACUUCGGUAAUGCAAAAUACAUACCUGAUAUGUGAAUUUAAUUGCUUCUUGGUGGAAUAAAAACGUUACUACAUUUAGUUUAUCGCUUAAAUCACCUUAGCGCAGUUUUCGUUUUUUCACCAUGAAUGCAGUGAACGAGCAGAAACCCGCUUCAUGUAAACACACUUUAAUGUCAAAAUGAUACUUUUAAAUGUUUUUAAUGAGCGUUUUGACAUGGUAACAAUACAUUAGUGUUAUAUUGGUGAAAUUGAAGGGAAAUUGUCAUAUCAUUCAAUCAUAAUAUGGAAAUAAUGAAAAAAUAUUAGAAGGCACACGGUGAAUGGAGCCCCCACGGUGAAUGGCGCCUUGACGGUACUUCUUCGCAGAUGACACUGGUUUUUUGGCUUCUCAUCGCGACGCUGAAGUUGUCAUCGAUUCCCUCCAAGAAGCGCAGAACUCUAUCCAAGAGUAUCAAAGAAAAUGGAAAGUUAGGGUUAAUCCUGCGAAGUCCCAAGCUAUUUUCUUCACCCGCCGUAGAAGCCCUAGAUUUCUACCUCAGAGUCUUGUCUCUUGCAAUGGUGUGGACAUUCCGUGGUCGCCAAAUGUCGACUAUCUAGGUGUAACGCUGGACCAGAAGCUGAAAUUCGACUGCCAUGUGACCAACUGCCUUAAAAAAUGCGACAAACUCACUAGAAUGUUGUAUCCGCUGGUCAGAGGGGCUCUCGCUUGGAUUCCAACAUCAAAAUCCUGCUGUACAAAACCGUUUUUCGGCCUACGGUUUCGUAUGGGUUUCCAGCUUGGUACGACUGCGCCAACGCUCACCGGAAGAAAGUACAAGUUAAGCAGAACCGCUUGCUCAAAAUGAUUCUGGAUCUGAGCACCUUCCAUCCAACUACAGAUGUCCACCGUCUUGCUGGAGUGGAGUUAAUCGAUGACUGGUUCCGGAGACUCAUUCCCAAAUUCCAACAGAGCUGCGCCACAUCUUUAAAUCCUCUGUUACAAGAGUUGGCCGUAUGAAAGACAUGUGAUAUUAGAAUUAAGCUUUUCUCUUCUAUAAUGUUUCCUACGCUAUUUCAAAGGUUUUUUUGUCUGAAAUUUUUCCUUUUUUGUCAAAAUUGUUGCUAGUCGUUUGUUAGUUUUCAUCAAAGAAGUGCUUGUUCUAUGUCAUUGCUGUAAGGAAUCCCAAAUCUCAAUGUUCAACUCCUAAAAACUCAUUGUAUUCGUUAAGGUAGAAAUAAAUAUUGAAUUGAAUUGAAUCGUUUCGUUUCGCCGAAGAAACUGCCGUUCCACAAGGGUCUGUCUUGGCAGUGACGCUCUUUCUCGUUGCGAUGAACGUAAUAUUUGAUGCAAUAUAGGGCAAUAUCCACAUCACGAUAUUGUCAUCGUCGUUUUCGGACCCACACUUACCAUGACAAAGAUCCGUGCUCAGGCUGCAGUGAAAAGAGUGGCAAAAUGGGCAUCUUACAUUGGCUCUCGGCUCUCGGCUAGUAAAAACGUUAGAUGUCACCAGUGGCGUCUCGUAACCUCACUUUUUACCUGUUCAACGACUUUAAAACUUGCAUUUGCGGAGAAUACAGGAUCUGGAUCAAAUUGAAAAUGGACUCAAACGACUGUUCUCGUUAUUUUCUACAAAUUACAAGCAAAUUUGUUAAGAAAAUUCAAGAUUUUACAUUCGUUGAACAGGUAGAUUUGAGGUUAGGGAAUCGCCCCUGGAUGUCACAUCUGUCCAUUCGGGCAUAACAUAAAAGGUCCACCUAUAACAAUUGAAGGACAGGAAAUUCUACUUCGUAAGUCGAUCCGCAUCUUGGAUGUACUGUUAGACCGUACGCUGUCGUUUCGUCAACACUUUGAGUCAGUAUAAGCAGACGUCACGCCCGUGAACGACAUACCGACAGUAUCCCGCUCAGGGGACUUAAACAAUGGAUCAAAUCUAGCUUCCUUCGGGUACCUUAUGGAGCUAAUCAAGAGCAGCAAAAAUACGGUUGAACCAAAAGCCAAUAAGGUAAAGAAGUGCUUUGUCCGCCUAUAACUGAAGUGUUCAAGGCUAGCGUCACUCUGGGUUAGCAUGGAGGAAGGUUCGAGUUGUUUUUAUUCCGAAUAAAGCUGGCAAAAUGGUUAAAACAACUCUCAAAGCCUUCAGACCGAUACGCCUUCCUCAGUUCUAUUGGAAACUAUGGAAAAUAUAUUGGAUGACUAUAUCAAGUCAACCAGUUCUUAGCAAAUUUCAUAUUGCGUAUCAAGCAGGUAAAUCUACAAUAAGGCAUGCGACAGAUGCGAUCAGCUGAUAUUUUUUGUUUACCAUGUAUUUUUGACAUUCGAUGAUCGGGGUGACAGUUGAAUACAAAGGAACUUGUUAAGCACCAACGACACUUGACGAAACAUUGGUAAGUUCUACUCACAUCGUGUUUACAUUUUUGGCUGCCACCCCCAUCGCGAAAAGUCGUCAUGGAUUGCCUUAUAACAGCGCAUUAGUCGCUAGUAUAUUAAAUCGAAGACCACUUUAUCAAGAAGACUUGCAGCACUGCUUAAAAUCGGGAGUCACUGUUAGCAGCGCCACCACGGAUUAAGGUGGAAGCAUUUAUGGUAGUGUGUGUAAAUCUUCAUACUCGCACCAAUACACUCUUACACUUUUAUACAGAGGUACCACCUUAGCUCAACAGGCGGCGAUGCCGUCGGUGUGAUUCUAUAACAUUCCCCAGAAAACCAUUCCCCAGAAAACCAAUCCCCAGAAUUCCAUUCCCCAGAAUGUACCAUUCCCCAGAAAACCAUUUCCCAGAAACCCAUUCCCCAGAAUGUACCAUUUCCCAGAAAUCCAUUCCCCAGAAUGUACCAUUCCCCAGAAUUCUAUUCCCCAGAAUGUACCAUUCUCCAGAAAAAAAUAAAACUAUUGCUUUAAUUCUGAAUGGUUUAUAUUAAUAGCUAAAAAUCAAAUAUUUAUUCGUAAAAAAUCACCGGAAGAAACAUCCUGCCAAAAAUUCUUAUUUGACAAGAAAGACUUCGGAAAUCAGCAUGAUUUGCCUUUACAAUUUAGGCUAUUGGUAUAAUUAUUGGCAUCGCAACUGCUUACUUUUUCAACAUACAUUUUUCCUUCUUUUCUGCAUAGGCUGUUCUUUCGAAUUGUACUUUUCAGUAAAUUAUCGGCAUCAGAACUUUUUACAUUUUCUACGUAGUUUUUUCCUUCUUUUCUGCAUAGGCUAUUCUUUCAAGUUACACUAUUCAGGUCAUUAUCGGCACCACAAGCACAGGUGUUUAGAAAUUUAGAAAAAAUAUGAAAUAAAUAUAACAGCAAUUUCAACACCGGUGGAGGCUGCAAUGCCCAUAAUUUCCCGAAAAGUGCAAUUCGAAAGAACAGCCUAUGCAAAAAAGAAGGGAGAAUCAAUGUUAAAAAAGUAAGCAGUUGCAAUGCCGAUAAUUUCUUGAAAAGUGCAACUGGAAAGAACAGCCUAUGCAAAAGAAGGGAAAAUUUUUGAUAAACAUAUAAGCAGUUGUAAUGCCAACAAUUCUUAUAACGACUCAAACAUUUUUUUUAACGAAGAAGGAAACGUAACACUCUGAUAAUUUCCAUCGUACAUCGAUUUAACGGUUUAUUUGAAAAUUUGAGAGUUGACCAACUGCCAAUUCGCGGCGCUCGCAUAGUUUUUGUUUGAGUUUGACGUUUGCUCACUACUGCCACCUAGUUGAUGAUUGGCCAAAUUCAGUCCUUUUAGAAUUAAGCGAACCUAUUUCCGAGACUAAAAUUUAAAUCGAAAAAUGUUCGAAGUGUUACGUCUGUUUGUCUGUGGUGACAUUGUUUUCCUUGCGGCAUUCAAAAACCCAACACUGUUCCUUUUUUUAAACAAGCUUUUUUUUAGAAUUUAGGCAAUUGGUACAAUUAUUGGAAUUAUAACUGCUUUCAUUUUCAACAUAGACUUUUCCUUCUCUGCUGCAUAGGCUGUUCUUUCGAAUUGCACUUUUCAGGAAAUUAUCGGCAUCACAACUGCUUACUUUUUCAACAUAGAUUUUCCCUUCUUUUCUACAUAGGCUGUUCUUUCGAGUUACAAUGUUUAGGCUAGUUACAAUCGGCACCACAAGCACAGGUGUUUAGAAAUUUGAAAAAAAAAAUUAAUAAUAAAUAUAACAGCAACACCGGUGGUUGUAAUAAUGCCCAUAAUUUCCUGAAAAGUGCAAUUCGAAAGAACAGCCUAUGUAGAAGAGAAGGGAGAAUCUAUGUUGAAAAUGUAAGCAGUUAUAAUUUAAAAUUUUUUACUAAUUGCCUUAAUUUUAAGAAGAAUAUUGUUUAAAAAGAAGGAACAUUGUUGGGUUUUUGAAUGCCAAAAGGAAAACAAUGAUACUUUUUCCCUUCUGUUAUCAUUCAAACUGCUUAUAUGUUCACUUUUUCUAUUCCAUUCCAUAGUAUUGGAAUAAUGAUGAAAGCCCUUCUCAUACCGCAUGAAUGAAGAGCCUUUGAAGCGAAUAAUUAGGAACAGCCAUUGGGAUGGAUCCCUCCAACCGUUUGCAAAGAAAAACGUGGUCAGUUGAGUCUUAAGUAUCUUGUACACUGAACAACAUCAGAAGAAUAUGCGUUUUCUCUGUAAAUUUUGCACAUCACUUUUAAAACGUUAUUCAUCGUAAAACAAGUGCUGCACAAUUUUCACAAA